rnacentral:rRNA from 1 species
AUUGAACGCUGGCGGCAGGCCUAACACAUGCAAGUCGAGCGGAUGAAGGGAGCUUGCUCCUGGAUUCAGCGGCGGACGGGUGAGUAAUGCCUAGGAAUCUGCCUGGUAGUGGGGGAUAACGUCCGGAAACGGGCGCUAAUACCGCAUACGUCCUGAGGGAGAAAGUGGGGGAUCUUCGGACCUCACGCUAUCAGAUGAGCCUAGGUCGGAUUAGCUAGUUGGUGGGGUAAAGGCCAACCAAGGCGACGAUCCGUAACUGGUCUGAGAGGAUGAUCAGUCACACUGGAACUGAGACACGGUCCAGACUCCUACGGGAGGCAGCAGUGGGGAAUAUUGGACAAUGGGCGAAAGCCUGAUCCAGCCAUGCCGCGUGUGUGAAGAAGGUCUUCGGAUUGUAAAGCACUUUAAGUUGGGAGGAAGGGCAGUAAGUUAAUACCUUGCUGUUUUGACGUUACCAACAGAAUAAGCACCGGCUAACUUCGUG